GCUGUCGUUUAGGGAGGCUAUUUGGUUGUGAGGUUAUAAAAGAGGAAAAAAGAAAUGGACUUUUAACCGACUACACCUCCACUUCAUUUCCCCAACACCACAUCAAAGAAAGACAAAAUGAACUUUGCUGUCUUGACUGCCAUGGUCACUGUAGCCCUUGUCCAUCUGGGCACUACGAACUCUUUACCUUGUCAAGGCACAAGCCUCCAAAGUAAAUAUGACGAAUUUAUCAGAAGACACAUCCUUCAAGAUGAAUUUAACCGAAGUCUUCCAAGAGAGUGGGAGAAAUAUUUGAAAAAGAAAGACCUCUGGUGCAGAACUCCAGUGCAGUCCUUCAUCGAGAGCAGAGAUCGGGGGAAUAUCGAUAGGAUCUGCAGCCGAAAUGGUCGACGUCUAAUUAAUGCCUUCCCAGAUAACUUGUGUAUCAGUAGUUCAAACAUACUGGUACAUGACAUCCAGUUUGUAAAUGGUUGUGAACUUAAUGUGAUAUCACAUCAAAAGCCUGUGAUUGUAGCCUGCAAUAAUGUUGAAAACCGCUGCCGCCCUGUGCAUUUUGAGAGAUACCAACAUCAAAUGCCAAGCAAUAGGCCCUGCAUGUAGCCACAGUUUUGCACUAUUUGAUGUACUAAUUAGUCAAUCGGGCUUUUCAAGUAUAAUCUCAAUCAAAUAAAUGAAUAAAUGUAUCCUACAGAGCUUGCUGAAUGGUGCAACUCUGAGUAUCUGUCUUCCUGUUUAUU